CCUACGGGCGGCUGCAGUGGGGAAUAUUGGACAAUGGGGGGAACCCUGAUCCAGCCAUGCCGCGUGUGUGAAGAAGGCCCUCGGGUUGUAAAGCACUUUCAGUGAGGAAGAACGCCUGGUGGUUAAUACCCAUCAGGAAAGACAUCACUCACAGAAGAAGCACCGGCUAACUCCGUGCCAGCAGCCGCGGUAAUACGGAGGGUGCGAGCGUUAAUCGGAAUUACUGGGCGUAAAGCGCGCGUAGGUGGCUUGAUAAGCCGGUUGUGAAAGCCCCGGGCGCAACCUGGGAACGGCAUCCGGAACUGUCAAGCUAGAGUGCAGGAGAGGAAGGUAGAAUUCCCGGUGUAGCGGUGAAAUGCGUAGAGAUCGGGAGGAAUACCAGUGGCGAAGGCGGCCUUCUGGACUGACACUGACACUGAGGUGCGAAAGCGUGGGUAGCAAACAGGAUUAGAUACCCUGGUAGUC
rnacentral:rRNA from 1 species